AACGCUAGCGACAGGCUUAACACAUGCAAGUCGAGGGGCAGCACAGGUAGCAAUACCGGGUGGCGACCGGCGCACGGGUGAGUAACGCGUAUGCAACUUGCCUAUCAGAGGGGGAUAACCCGGCGAAAGUCGGACUAAUACCGCAUGAAGCAGGGGCCCCGCAUGGGGAUAUUUGCUAAAGAUUCAUCGCUGAUAGAUAGGCAUGCGUUCCAUUAGGCAGUUGGCGGGGUAACGGCCCACCAAACCGACGAUGGAUAGGGGUUCUGAGAGGAAGGUCCCCCACAUUGGUACUGAGACACGGACCAAACUCCUACGGGAGGCAGCAGUGAGGAAUAUUGGUCAAUGGCCGAGAGGCUGAACCAGCCAAGUCGCGUGAGGGAUGAAGGUUCUAUGGAUCGUAAACCUCUUUUAUAAGGGAAUAAAGUGCGGGACGUGUCCCGUUUUGUAUGUACCUUAUGAAUAAGGAUCGGCUAACUCCGUGCCAGCAGCCGCGGUAAUACGGAGGAUCCGAGCGUUAUCCGGAUUUAUUGGGUUUAAAGGGUGCGUAGGCGGCCUUUUAAGUCAGCGGUGAAAGUCUGUGGCUCAACCAUAGAAUUGCCGUUGAAACUGGGGGGCUUGAGUAUGUUUGAGGCAGGCGGAAUGCGUGGUGUAGCGGUGAAAUGCAUAGAUAUCACGCAGAACCCCGAUUGCGAAGGCAGCCUGCCAAGCCAUUACUGACGCUGAUGCACGAAAGCGUGGGGAUCAAACAGGAUUAGAUACCCUGGUAGUCCACGCAGUAAACGAUGAUCACUAGCUGUUUGCGAUACACUGUAAGCGGCACAGCGAAAGCGUUAAGUGAUCCACCUGGGGAGUACGCCGGCAACGGUGAAACUCAAAGGAAUUGACGGGGGCCCGCACAAGCGGAGGAACAUGUGGUUUAAUUCGAUGAUACGCGAGGAACCUUACCCGGGUUUGAACGCAUUCGGACCGAGGUGGAAACACCUUUUCUAGCAAUAGCCGUUUGCGAGGUGCUGCAUGGUUGUCGUCAGCUCGUGCCGUGAGGUGUCGGCUUAAGUGCCAUAACGAGCGCAACCCUUGCCACUAGUUACUAACAGGUAAAGCUGAGGACUCUGGUGGGACUGCCAGCGUAAGCUGCGAGGAAGGCGGGGAUGACGUCAAAUCAGCACGGCCCUUACAUCCGGGGCGACACACGUGUUACAAUGGCGUGGACAAAGGGAAGCCACCUGGCGACAGGGAGCGAAUCCCCAAACCACGUCUCAGUUCGGAUCGGAGUCUGCAACCCGACUCCGUGAAGCUGGAUUCGCUAGUAAUCGCGCAUCAGCCAUGGCGCGGUGAAUACGUUCCCGGGCCUUGUACACACCGCCCGUCAAGCCAUGGGAGCCGGGGGUACCUGAAGUCCGUAACCGCGAGGAUCGGCCUAGGGUAAAACUGGUGACUGGGGCUAAGUC
rnacentral:rRNA from 1 species